rnacentral:rRNA from 1 species
UACGAACUGUGCGAACGUUAUUCGGAAUCACUGGGCUUACAGGGUGCGUAGGCGGCUCAACAAGUCAGACGUGAAAUCCCUCGGCUCAACCGGGGAACUGCGUCUGAUACUGGGUGGCUUGAAUCCGGGAGAGGGAUGCGGAAUUCCAGGUGUAGCGGUGAAAUGCGUAGAUAUCUGGAGGAACACCGGUGGCGAAGGCGGCAUCCUGGACCGGCAUUGACGCUGAGGCGCGAAAGCCAGGGGAGCAAACGGG